rnacentral:rRNA from 1 species
GCGACUAAGCGUACACGGUGGAUGCCCUGGCAGUCAGAGGCGAUGAAGGACGUGCUAAUCUGCGAUAAGCGUCGGUAAGGUGAUAUGAACCGUUAUAACCGGCGAUUUCCGAAUGGGGAAACCCAGUGUGUUUCGACACACUAUCAUUAACUGAAUCCAUAGGUUAAUGAGGCGAACCGGGGGAACUGAAACAUCUAAGUACCCCGAGGAAAAGAAAUCAACCGAGAUUCCCCCAGUAGCGGCGAGCGAACGGGGAGCAGCCCAGAGCCUGAAUCAGUGUGUGUGUUAGUGGAAGCGUCUGGAAAGGCGCGCGAUACAGGGUGACAGCCCCGUACACAAAAAUGCACAUGCUGUGAGCUCGAUGAGUAGGGCGGGACACGUGGUAUCCUGUCUGAAUAUGGGGGGACCAUCCUCCAAGGCUAAAUACUCCUGACUGACCGAUAGUGAACCAGUACCGUGAGGGAAAGGCGAAAAGAACCCCGGCGAGGGGAGUGAAAAAGAACCUGAAACCGUGUACGUACAAGCAGUGGGAGCACGCUUAGGCGUGUGACUGCGUACCUUUUGUAUAAUGGGUCAGCGACUUAUAUUCUGUAGCAAGGUUAACCGAAUAGGGGAGCCGAAGGGAAACCGAGUCUUAACUGGGCGUUAAGUUGCAGGGUAUAGACCCGAAACCCGGUGAUCUAGCCAUGGGCAGGUUGAAGGUUGGGUAACACUAACUGGAGGACCGAACCGACUAAUGUUGAAAAAUUAGCGGAUGACUUGUGGCUGGGGGUGAAAGGCCAAUCAAACCGGGAGAUAGCUGGUUCUCCCCGAAAGCUAUUUAGGUAGCGCCUCGUGAAUUCAUCUCCGGGGGUAGAGCACUGUUUCGGCAAGGGGGUCAUCCCGACUUACCAACCCGAUGCAAACUGCGAAUACCGGAGAAUGUUAUCACGGGAGACACACGGCGGGUGCUAACGUCCGUCGUGAAGAGGGAAACAACCCAGACCGCCAGCUAAGGUCCCAAAGUCAUGGUUAAGUGGGAAACGAUGUGGGAAGGCCCAGACAGCCAGGAUGUUGGCUUAGAAGCAGCCAUCAUUUAAAGAAAGCGUAAUAGCUCACUGGUCGAGUCGGCCUGCGCGGAAGA